CCGGCUUCCUGGCCUUUUCUGGCCGCUGCGUCCACGCCUCUGACGCGCUUGUCAGGCCGCCGCUGGGGAGGACUCCGCAGGAGCCUCAAACGCCACCUCCUCCCGGCCUCUCUCCCAGCGCUGCGUCUAUUUUGGGCACCGCAUUAUUUCCUGCUGUGAUUUUCAGCUUCUAAUUCGGGCUCUGAGUUUCUAGGUCAAAGAAUAUUAAGUAUGAAACACUGGAAACAGCAUGUAAAGAACUAAAGCAUUUAUUCCAGGAAUCCACUAGGAGAUGUCCACCAAAACAAGAGAGCAAACCAAGAAAAAUGAAAAGAUGUGAAAUCCAUUGAAGACUAUCAUCAUCCAUGCCCUCGACUGUUGUAUCUUUUUAACCUGCCGAAACCACGGAAGGAUGUGUCCCACUAAAACAAAGGAGUAAGCCAAGAAAUCUGAGCAUAUGAGAAUCAAGAAACAGAAAUUCCAACCCCAGAGAGAGAGGAAGGGAGAGAUAGAGACAGAGAGAAACAUCGGUCAGUUGCCUCUCCUAUGCAUCCCAACUGGGGAUCAAACCCGCAAGCUUUUUGGUGCCCAGGAUGAUGCUCCAACCAACUGAGCCACUUGGCCAGGUGCCAGUUUUUAAAAUGAGAUAAGCAAUGUAAUGAUGUGGAUAAUUUCCACAACACAUUCUUAUGUUAAAAAAAAUAAAUCACAAAAGAAUAUAAAUAAUU